AUACGAAAGGUGCAAGCGUUGUUCGGAUUUACUGGGCGUAAAGAGAGUGUAGGUGGUUUAUUAAGUCGGAUGUGAAAUCCCGGGGCUCAACCUCGGAACUGCAUUCGAUACUGAUAGGCUAGAGUUUGGGAGGGGUAAGCGGAAUUCCGUGUGUAGCAGUGAAAUGCGUAGAUAUACGGAGGAACACCUGAGGCGAAGGCGGCUUACUGGACCGAUACUGACACUGAGACUCGAAAGCGUGGGUAGCAAACAGGAUUAGAAACCCCGGUAGUCC
rnacentral:rRNA from 1 species